GCGGGUGUAAUUUAGUGGUAGAAUUCCAGCCUUCCAAGCUGACAGUGUGGGUUCGAUUCCCAUCACCCGCUCCA
rnacentral:tRNA from 1 species